GGAGAUUUGCUACUGUGAUGCGGAGAAAGUUGGACGUAUGUAACCGAGGAGGGUUACCCUCGGUGGGAGGUGCAAGCCGCCGAACAGCUCAACAGAGACAACACGCCCAGACAGAAGCCCUUGAACAGGGGGCGCUGAUUCAACACAGGACCAAAGGCAACAGGACUGAGUGAACAUGGACUGAAAACCCCCAUAGCCAGCGAAGGGAACCGCCACAUUGGCUUGCACAUGCGCAAAAUGAAGGGAGUUGCACCUCUCCGCACCUGCACGCAAGUCUGUUCAAAGUGGACCAAAACCGCUGAAUUUGUGCUCAAUGAUUCUCAUGGUUCCGUGAUGGUGCUUAAUCCAGAUGGGAAAGCAGAAUGCUGUGCAUGGGAGGCAGCUUUGGCAUUUCACAUACCAUGGACAGAGAAUACAUGGAGGGAGUCACGAGGGCGAGGUACUAUUUGAAAAACAAGGAAACUGGAAGACUUUGCUCAGAGGAAGGUACCCAGGAUCUGCUGCGCAAGAGCCAAAUCUCGCUUCUUCAGCUCAGCACCGUGGAGGCCGCCAUGCAGCUCUCCACGAGUUCCAAUGUUGAAUUCUUCCACAACAUUGAGCCUAACGAAUACAUAGGUGAUUUAUUUAAACUCAAAUAAAAAACCAGCUUAGCCAACCUGAAGAAACUUGAGGAAGUCUUUAACCAGGAAACAUUUGGGUGGCUUCUGAAAUCCUGCAAGAGACAACUAGCUGAAAGAGAAUGAAGAUCUUCAAGCCUUUCAUUAAGAUUGCCUCGCACUGUAGGGGAUGCAAGAAUUUUAACUCCAUGUUUGCAGUCAUCAGGUAAGAGGACCUGUCCUAUGUGAAGCUGACUCUACAGAUUUAACUAUAUAUAUAACUAGUUUUGGAAUACCAUAUGAUUAUAGAAAUAUUGACU
rnacentral:lncRNA from 1 species